rnacentral:rRNA from 1 species
AUGCGGUAUGACGGUACCCUUUCGAAUAAGAGGUUGCUAACUCUGUGCCAGCAGCAGCGGUAAUACAGAGACCUCGAGCGUUAUCCGGAUUUACUGGGCGUAAAGCGUCUGUAGGGGGUUUGUUAAGUUCCAAGUAAAAUCUUAAGGCUCAACUUUAAGUUCGCUUGGAAAGCUAAUAAACUGGAGUCCAGCAGAGGUGCAUGGAACUUGCGGUGUAGGAGUGAAAUCCGUUGAUAUCGCAAGGAACACCAAAGGCGAAGGCAUUGCACUGGGCUGGUACUGACCCUGAGAGACGAAAGCGUGGGGAGCAAAACGGAUUAGAUACCCGUGUAGUCCACGCCGUAAACGAUGGAUACUAGAUGUUCGGGGAUUCGACCCUCUGGGUGUCACAGCUAACGCGUUAAGUAUCCCGCCUGGGAAGUACGGCCGCAAGGCUAAAACUCAAAGGAAUAGACGGGGAUCCGCACAAGCGGUGGAGCGUCUGGUUUAAUUUGAUAGUAAGCAAUGGACCUCACCAAGGUUUGACAUCCUAUGACAACCCUGGAAACAGGGCUUCCUUCGGGCAUAGUGACAGGUGCUGCAUGGUCGUCGUCAGUUCGUGCCGUGAGGUGUUCCGUUAAGUCGGGAAACGAACGAAACCCUCGUCGCAUGUUACAAAUUUCAUGCGAGACUGCCCGGGUCAACCGGGAGGAAGGCGGGGAUGACGUCAGAUCAGCAUGGCCCUUAUACCUUGGGCUACACAGGCGCUACAAUGGCCGGUACAAAGGGUUGCAAAACCGCGAGGUGAAGCUAAUCCCAUAAAGCCGGUCCAAGUUCGGAUUGGAGGCUGCAACUCGCCUCCAUGAAGUUGGAAUCGCUAGUAAUCGUGGAUCAGCCAUACCACGGUGAAUACGUUCCCGGAUCUUGUACUCACCGCCCGUCACACCAAGAGAGUUGG